rnacentral:rRNA from 1 species
GAUGAACGCUGGCGGCGUGCCUAAUACAUGCAAGUAGAACGCUGAAGGAGGAGCUUGCUCUUCUGGAUGAGUUGCGAACGGGUGAGUAACGCGUAGGUAACCUGCCUUGUAGCGGGGGAUAACUAUUGGAAACGAUAGCUAAUACCGCAUGACAACAGUUAUUGCAUGAUAACUGUUUAAAAGUGGCAACUGCUCCACUACCAGAUGGACCUGCGUUGUAUUAGCUAGGUGGUGAGGUAACGGCUCACCAAGGCGACGAUACAUAGCCGACCUGAGAGGGUGGUCGGCCACACUGGGACUGAGACACGGCCCAGACGCCUACGGGAGGCAGCAGGAGGGAAACUUCGGCAAUGGACGGAAGUCUGACCGAGCAACGCCGCGGGAGGGAAGAAGGGUGUCGGGUCGUGAAGCUCGGUUGUAAGAGAAGAACGAGUGUGAGAGUGGGAAGUUCACACUGUGACGGUAUCUUACCAGAAAGGGACGGCUAACUACGUG